rnacentral:rRNA from 1 species
UGGGGAAUAUUGCACAAUGGGGGAAACCCUGAUGCAGCGACGCCGCGUGGAGGAAGAAGGUCUUCGGAUUGUAAACUCCUGUUGUUGGGGAAAAGAAGGAUGGUACCCAACAAGGAAGUGACGGCUAACUACGUGCCAGCAGCCGCGGUAAAACGUAGGUCACAAGCGUUGUCCGGAAUUACUGGGUGUAAAGGGAGCGCAGGCGGGUAUGCAAGUUGGAAGUGAAAUACAUGGGCUCAACCCAUGAACUGCUUUCAAAACUGUGUAUCUUGAGUAGUGCAGAGGUAGGCGGAAUUCCCGGUGUAGCGGUGGAAUGCGUAGAUAUCGGGAGGAACACCAGUGGCGAAGGCGGCCUACUGGGCACCAACUGACGCUGAGGCUCGAAAGUGUGGGUAGCAAACAGGAUUAGAUACCCUUGU